UGGGGAAUCUUCCGCAAUGGGCGAAAGCCUGACGGAGCGACGCCGCGUGUAGGAUGAAGGCCCUCGGGUUGUAAACUACUGUCACGGGUUAUGAAUGUGCAUAUGUUAACAGCGUGUGUAUUGACGUAAGCCCGAAAGGAAGCACCGGCUAACUCUGUGCCAGCAGCCGCGGUAAUACAGAGGGUGCAAACGUUGUUCGGAAUUACUGGGCAUAAAGCGCGCGUAGGCGGCGACGUAAGUGUAGGGUGAAAUCCCACGGCUCACCCGUGUGAAUUGCCCCGCAUACUGCGUUGCUUGAGUGUGGUAGGGGAGAGCGGAACUCCUGGUGGAGCGGUGAAAUGCGUAGAUAUCAGGAGGAACACCGGUGGCGUAGGCGGCUCUCUGGUCCAUAACUGACGCUGAAGUGCGAAAGCUAGGGUAGCGAACGGGAUUAGAUACCCCAGUAGUCCCUGAGCGGGCUGGCAAGGCGCAU
rnacentral:rRNA from 1 species